UUCAGGAGUCUAGGCUUUCAAAAAAAUCCAGUACAGUGAGAAAGACAUGACAUGGCUGAGAUGGAGAGAAUAUGAGGUGGCCACAGCAGAAAAGUUGAGAACAAUUUGAAAGAGGAAAAUCUGUGGCCAAAUUCAAGGCACCCUAGGCUGUGAUCCUGGAACUGAACAUCUGAUGAGUCAAUACAGGGCACGGAGUAGUGCUCUUCUCCCUGAACCAUGAGACCUGCAUCUCAGGUUGCAGAAAACAUGUGGAGCAGAGGUACAGAGCCUUCACUUUGCUGCAGCAACAAAUAAAGACUUUGAAGUCCUCCAUUGGAUCUUCUCGGAAGAUGAGGGAAAUGAGAGAGUGUGGAGAGAGAUUUUGUAAGUCCGGUCUGGAAGUGGUCAUUGUUCAGAAUCCAGCCACGUGGGUACAUGGAACUGUAAGGCUAUUUCAACAUGGGAAACUGAAAUCGGGCAUAUCCCUGCGGAAGAAGCUGUCUCUUAGCGAAGAAUAAAACUGUGGACUGACCCCCACCCAUUUGCGAAGAAAGUACUGGGUCUUCAGCUUUCAUUGUUCAGCCGGUGGUCUUUGUGGACAACACCAGGGGCCCCUCCUGCUGAAGACUGUCUGGACUUCCUGAUUUUCACUCCUGUAUAAACCCCCUCCCCCAUUACUACCUUUGUCUCCUUGGGGAAAAAAAAUGUUUUUCACUUAAGCAAAAUAAUAACUACCCAGUAUUUGUUUCUGGAGUGAAAUUGUAAACUUCAUUGUACAUUCUUCCUGGCUUUGAUGCUUAUCGUGAAGAGUUCAGUGAAAAUAAAUUGUUUUUAUGAAAGCAGAGAAACCAUUUGAUAAACACGCUGUCUCUGAAAAUCGUUCCUGCAAAAGAGGUCAUUCUUUCACUUUAAAAGAAAUAGAAUAUAUUUCAGAAAACAGGCAGGACAACAUACAAAUUUUUUUUUAAGGCAGAGUGUAAAUACAGUGAAAAUUGCACACCUCCUGAUUGUGUGGAGUGUUUUGG
rnacentral:lncRNA from 10 species